GAACGCCGGCGGCAGGCUUAACACAUGCAAGUCGAGCGGAGAGAGGUAGCUUGCUACUGAUCUUAGCGGCGGACGGGUGAGUAAUGCUUAGGAAUCUGCCUAUUAGUGGGGGACAACAUUUCGAAAGGAAUGCUAAUACCGCAUACGUCCUACGGGAGAAAGCAGGGGAUCUUCGGACCUUGCGCUAAUAGAUGAGCCUAAGUCGGAUUAGCUAGUUGGUGGGGUAAAGGCCUACCAAGGCGACGAUCUGUAGCGGGUCUGAGAGGAUGAUCCGCCACACUGGGACUGAGACACGGCCCAGACUCCUACGGGAGGCAGCAGUGGGGAAUAUUGGACAAUGGGCGCAAGCCUGAUCCAGCCAUGCCGCGUGUGUGAAGAAGGCCUUAUGGUUGUAAAGCACUUUAAGCGAGGAGGAGGCUACUUUAGUUAAUACCUAGAGAUAGUGGACGUUACUCGCAGAAUAAGCACCGGCUAACUCUGUGCCAGCAGCCGCGGUAAUACAGAGGGUGCAAGCGUUAAUCGGAUUUACUGGGCGUAAAGCGCGCGUAGGCGGCUAAUUAAGUCAAAUGUGA
rnacentral:rRNA from 1 species